GGGGAGAGUGGGUGGGAAACGACACGAGGGAAAUCCAUGACUUCCCUAUGGUUUGACAGUUUGUGAUCAUAUAAAAGUCGAGUGGCAGUAGUCUAUCAACAAACUAGACGAGGAACAGCAAAAGAGGAAGAUAAAGGCCAAAUCACGCGAAUGUGUUCCACUCUUGCAGUCUCUUUGACAACCGCGAACAAGCACCAUUUGGACUCAGUUUUGGAACUUGAUUAAUUUGUUUUUAUUCCCUGAGCAAAAAAAAGUCUCAAUAAUUCAAACUGGACAGCAUGUCAUCAAAGGACGUGGAGAGCCUUCAGCCCACCGUGCGCCACCGCGACAAGUCUGUCUACGUCUGUCUGGGGUGCUUGACGUUCGCCUUGGUUGUAAUUUCGCUUGGCGGGGGAGCGAUGUUUCUGUUUAUGUGGAGAGAGCUACAGAGCCAGGUAGCCUCUACCAAAUCGACGGGCUCCAAAGCUACCCAUUCUGCACCUCUCCCUGACGAGGGCACAUUUAAGUCGGGACAUGUUGCCUACGUGAGAGCUACCAACGGCGAAGUUCGUAAUCAAACUAUGAAAUGGGAGACGAUUGGAUUCGGCAGCAGCUCUUCCAUUGGCACGAAUUACAACUACAGCUCAACUCAAAGUAUGCUGAAAGUGCUGGGCGAAGGGAGUUAUUAUAUCUACAUGGACAUCAGUUUCGUGAAAACCGCGACAGAGUGCAAAAGCAGUAGCAUUGUGGAAGUGACGUUGAAGUCCGAUAAUGCUGAAGUACUGCCCCCGUGUGUGGUGGAACUGGAUUGCCAGGUCACGACGCCCGUGACGAACAGGUGUUGGGACGUGGUGCACUUGAAGCGAGACAGCCGCCUGAGUGGUCAUAUGACCGUGCGCACACCGAACUCACCAAAUGGAGGCUUUGUAUGGAAACUUGUAAGCAACAAUUCGGGCUUUGGGAUGUUCUUCGUGGGCAGCUAGUGAGUCCACCAGCACUGGCGACCACCGUAGUAGAACUAAUGACUAGAUUUAAGCGACCACUGUAUUAGAACUAAUUACUUGUUUCAAGCGUACCCGGGAGUUCGUGGAGCUUCAGCACCUUUCCUAAGCUCAGGACACUGCGUGGAAGGAGAGACAAUUUCUUCCGCAAACAUUGUGCUAUUUAUAUUAUCUCUAUUUUUAUAAUUAUUUAUUUACAACAUGCACAUGUAUAUGUAUAACAGUACAGUAUAUUUACUGUUGAGAGUGUUUUAUAUAAGUAGGCAGCACUACACGGACAGGAGACUUUAAAUGGUUAAAACUAGUGAAAGCUGUUUAAAGCUUCACUUGCACAGCUAGGUCUGGUAAGUUUGACCACAAGAUGAUGUGUUUGAUUGUUUGUUAUGACAUUGGAUGUUAAUGUAUACAUUGACAGUAAUAAUAACAGAAAACAGUAACAGUAAUAGUAGUAGAAAAAAAGUACUGAAUAACAGCAACUGUUUUGAUUGUAUGUUUCCUUGGAAACGUAUAAAGGUCAGGCCUUGUCCUGAAGCUGGUGGUACUUAUGACCCGUGUUAUGCUUUAGGACGAAGAGGGCAUCUACCUCAAGAGUACGCACGCACACACACACACACACACACACACACAAACAGACACACACACACACACACACACACACACAUACACAUACAUACACAUACAAAGACAUACUCUCUCUCCCCCCAAUAACACAAACACACAUAUACAGCAAAGAAUGGGGCUCGCAGUAUCUUUGAAUGUAUCAUGAUAUGUAUGACCUGUGUUAUGAUUUAAGACCAAGAGGGCAUCUACCUCAAGAGUACACACACAGACACACACACACACUUGUGUUUGAUGUGUGCACUCGCUGGGCCAUCUGGUGCUCUGUUACCAUAGAGAUGACUCGUUACGGUCUGGGGUUGGUUAACCAUGGGGACCAGAUGUGCAUUGGAUACCGACCGAACCAUGACAUAAACUUGGACUGUCAGCAAAAGACUCCUUUACUUUAAUCAUGUCCUCAGCAGGGUUUUUGUUGUUGUUGUUUGUCAAAAAAAAAAAGGUCAUUCCUACUGUAAAUUCCCAACUUUGACAAUUCCAUGUACUUUAACCACUAAAGGAGGAGUAGCUGUGUACAUGCUCUGGCAAUUCCAUGUACUGUUAUCCAAAGAUUUUCAAUCCUCCUUCGAGGUGUUCAGUUCUGUGUAGUUAUGUGGGAUGUUUUUUGAAAUUUCAGAUGCCAUUAAUAAUGUAAUUGUUCUCAUUUCACUUCAACCACUACAGUUAUGCAGGAGUACCUGUGUGGGCAGGGCCCUCUCCCAUAGCCCCCCCCCCCCAUUUCCACAGAAAGAGUUUUCCGUGCGAUUUAGUGGAAG
ensembl:lncRNA